rnacentral:rRNA from 1 species
UACGGGGGGAGCAAGCGUUGUUCGGAUUUACUGGGCGUAAAGGGCGGGUAGGCGGCCACCGCAAGUCAGUUGUGAAAUCUCUGGGCUUAACCCAGAAAGGUCAACUGAUACUGCGGGGCUAGAGUGCAGAAGGGGCAACUGGAAUUCUCGGUGUAGCGGUGAAAUGCGUAGAUAUCGAGAGGAACACCCGCGGCGAAGGCGGGUUGCUGGGCUGACACUGACGCUGAACUGCGAAAGCUAGGGGAGCGAACGGG